rnacentral:rRNA from 1 species
GACGGAGGGGGCAAGCGUUGUUCGGAAUUAUUGGGCGUAAAGGGCUCGUAGGCGGACAGGUAAGUCUGGCGUGAAAUCUCCACCGCUCACCGGGGAGAGGUCGCUGGAAACUGCCUGUCUGGAGUACAGUAGAGGACCAUGGAAUUCCAGGUGUAGCGGUGGAAUGCGUAGAUAUCUGGAAGAACACCGGUGGCGAAGGCGGUGUGUCGGCUG